rnacentral:rRNA from 1 species
UACGGAGGGUGCGAGCGUUGUUCGGAAUCAUUGGGCGUAAAGCGCGUGUAGGCGGGCUGGCAAGUCAGGUGUGAAAUCCCGGGGCUCAACCUCGGAAUUGCGCCUGAAACUGCUGGUCUUGAGUACGGGAGGGGGCAGCGGAAUUCUUGGUGUAGGGGUGAAAUCCGUAGAUAUCAGGAGGAACACCGAUGGCGAAGGCAGCUGCCUGGACCAGUACUGACGCUGAGACGCGAAAGCGUGGGGAGCAAACAGG